GGAUUGACACAUCGGUCGUGCCUUAAGGGGUGUGAACUGGUGUAGUCAAUUUCUCACCUUCUGGAGAACCGCGAUGUCCUUAAUUGGGUGCCGCGAGGAACCAGAACCUUUACUUUGAAAAAAUUAGAGUGUUUAAAGCAGGCAUUUUUGCUUGAAUACAUUAGCAUGGAAUAAUAAAAUAGGACGGCAUGAUUCUAUUUUGUUGGUUUCUAGGAUCACCGUA
rnacentral:rRNA from 1 species